rnacentral:rRNA from 1 species
CUCCCACCCGUGUCUAUCGUACCUUGUUGCUUCGGCGGGCCCGCCGUUUCGACGGCCGCCGGGGAGGCCUCGCGCCCCCGGGCCCGCGCCCGCCGAAGACCCCAACAUGAACGCUGUUCUGAAAGUAUGCAGUCUGAGUUGAUUAUCAUAAUCAGUUAAAACUUUCAACAACGGAUCUCUUGGUUCCGGCAUCGAUGAAGAACGCAGCGAAAUGCGAUAAGUAAUGUGAAUUGCAGAAUUCAGUGAAUCAUCGAGUCUUUGAACGCACAUUGCGCCCCCUGGUAUUCCGGGGGGCAUGCCUGUCCGAGCGUCAUUGCUGCCCUCAAGCACGGCUUGUGUGUUGGGCCCCCGUCCCCUCUCCCGGGGACGGGCCCGAAAGGCAGCGGCGGCACCGCGUCCGGUCCUCGAGCGUAUGGGGCUUUGUCACCCGCUCUGUAGGCCCGGCCGGCGCCAGCCGACACCCAACUUUAUUUCUAAGGUUGACCUCGGAUCAGGUAGGGAUACCCGCUGAACUUAAGCAUAUCAAUAAGCG